GGAGAGAUGGCUGAGUCCGGUUGAAGGCGCCCGACUCGAAAUCGGGUAACGUGUUAAAGCGUUCGGGGGUUCGAAUCCCUCUCUCUCCGCCA
rnacentral:tRNA from 1 species